rnacentral:ncRNA from 1 species
AUAAAAACGAUGACGAAGAGGAGUAGAUAGAGACGAGCCCUCUACAGAGAAGGAAGCCUUAGGCUGAGAGCUUCCGGGAAGGCGUUUAUCGAAGGUUGCUUUCGAGUUUUAUGCGAGAUAAUGAGGGCCCCGGAACCUGUGAGGAUAAAGGGGAAUAAAGGUGGUACCGCGGAAAGAUCCGUCCUUUGA